rnacentral:lncRNA from 1 species
ACUUUUUAUAAAUGUCACUCUACAAAGCACUUUAAAUAUUUCUUUUCUAGUAGCUCAUUUAAUGUUUAUAACCUUUUAUUAGUGGGACAAUUGUUGUACCAAUGAUAAGGAAAAUGAGGAGAAAUAAAUUCUCUUUCAAUAUGUGCUGUUAUGACUGAUGAGCUUUUUUUAGUUUUUAUUUGAAGUAUUUCUAAAUAGCACAGAAUUUACUGAGCUUAUUAGAUUAAUGGAAAACAAAUAUAUGUAAUAAAUAGCACAGAUUAAUAGUUUGCUAAUACUGAUUUGAAUAAAUUAAAAUCAUCAAAAUGUACACAGCAUAUGUUGAAUAAAAUAUUGUGCUGCACAUUAUAGUAAUGUUUCUAUUAAUAGGCUGCUCAUUUAUAGUAGCAUAUGGCAGGUUUGGUGACAGCCAGGGAACUAUUAAUUCAGAUAGGGUGAGAAAUAAAAGGCCUCUCAUGAAGUGAUGAGUUUUCAAUAAGUCAUUAAACAAAGUGUUAUUAAAUUCCUACUAUGUGUCACUGUUAUAGGUAAAAGAGAUAUAGCACUAAAAGCAAGGGAGGUAAGACUCCUGCCUUCAUGGAUCUUGAAAGAAAGAGACAGAGAGAUGGGAAAACAAGUUAAUCUUAAAUAUUAAGUGCUAUGAACCCACAACAGGAUUUUUUGUAAGCAACUGGUAGGGGUGAGGGGAAGUCACUGUUGUUUUUAAGAGUCUAGAGUCUCUUUUAAAGGUUCAGUGCUUCACCUGAGACACCAAUGUGGGGAAUCUAUGAAAACAGUGCUCAGAAAAAGAUGAGCAGGGACAAAGGCUUAGAAAGAAAAAAAAAAGCCAGGUGGAGACACAGGAGACCUAACUCUUCAAAUACACAACACUAAAUUUGAGCAAGUCAUUUGAUAACUGUGCCUCUACUUCCUAAUCCAUAGUGAGUUGGAUUAGAUGUCCAUGUAAAAUGUUUUAGUUAACAAUCUUUUUGUCUUGCUCUGUCUUCGGGUUGGAGUGCAGUGGUGUGAUCAUAGUAGACUAGCAGCCUCACUGCAGCCUCAAACUCUGGGCUCAAAGGAUUCUCCUGCAUCAGCCUCCUCAGUAGCUGGGACUACAGACAUGCGCCACCAGGCCCAGCUAUGUUUUUAAUUUUUUCGUAGGGAUGGGGUCUCAUUUUGUUACCCAGGCUGGUCUAAAAACUUCUGAAAUCAAGCGGUCCUUCUGCCUCAGCCUCCCGAAGUGUCAACAACUUUUUACAAUAUUUUUAAUACUUUUAUAUUAUACCUAAAAUAACUAGUCCUGCAGUUCCGCCCUAUAUUCCCAGGCAAGCACUCAAUAAUAAACCUGCGUAUUCUAUUUGGACAGAUGAAUAAAACAUAGUGAGCUUCGACCUUAGGUGUUAAUUCUCUUACUCCCUAGUUUAUCUGUAAGACUAUAUUAUAUCAACACAUUAGCAAAUUUUUGUUAUGUUGGUUCAUCUAUUUUAUGGUAGAUUUUAUUAAUUUUUAAACAAAC